rnacentral:rRNA from 1 species
UACGAAGGGGGCUAGCGUUGCUCGGAAUCACUGGGCGUAAAGCGCACGUAGGCGGCUUUCUAAGUCAGGGGUGAAAUCCUGGAGCUCAACUCCAGAACUGCCUUUGAUACUGGAGAGCUUGAGUCCGGAAGAGGUGAGUGGAACUCCGAGUGUAGAGGUGAAAUUCGUAGAUAUUCGGAGGAACACCAGUGGCGAAGGCGGCUCACUGGUCCGGUACUGACGCUGAUGUGCGAAAGCGUGGGGAGCAAACAGG